UACGUAGGGGGCAAGCGUUGUCCGGAAUCAUUGGGCGUAAAGCGCGCGUAGGCGGCCCGGUAAGUCCGCUGUGAAAGUCAAAGGCUCAACCUUUGAAUGUCAGCGGAUACUGCCGGGCUAGAGUCCGGAAGAGGCGAGUGGGAACUCCUGGUGUAGCGGUGGAAUGCGCAGAUAUCAGGAAGAACACCAACGGCGAAGGCAGCUCGCUGGGACGGAACUGACGCCUAAGGCGGCGAAAGCGUGGGGAGCGAACAGGA
rnacentral:rRNA from 1 species